UCCCUUGUAGCUUAGUAGGUAAAGAAUUUGCCUGCAAUGCAGGAGACCCGGGCUCAAUCCCUGGGUUGGGAA
rnacentral:tRNA from 1 species